UGAGAGGUUACAUGUCUAUUGCUUAUUUAGAGAGUAAGGGGUAGGUUAAGCAUGACAUUUAUCCUACCUGGCCCUACUGGCAUUGGACUGGCUCAAUAUCACAAUUGGGGCAGAAACAGUUUUUAUAAUGCCAGUCCAUCACCAGUCAUGAUUGCUAAUAGUCUUCAAAAUAGUAAGUGUCAUGUGCCAGUUAGCUGAUUAGUAUAGUGCCCACGUACAAUGACUGGGGUUCAUCAUUAGCUGAACAUGAAUGGAGUGUGCUUCACUUAUUUGCUCUUUGGUUUUCGUUCUUAAUUUUUACAUAUGUUUUUUUCAUAAACAUUUUGGACUUUUUAUUUAAUAGGUAUAUUGUACCAAAAAUGAUAUAAUAUAGGGGAAGUUGUAUUUUAGGAGGCCCAUUUGAAGGUUAAAUGGGAAUGAAACCCAUAGAAACUGGAAUAUGGGCUUUGUCCAUUAAUGAUCAGAAUAUUAUUUUUUUUGUGCACUAAUUACUGUUUGGAUAAGUUAUUCCAAAAUUGCCAUUUUGUUUUCCUUGUCAGUAGCCACCACGGUCUCUAUGUAAGCAACCACGAGUCUCCAAAAUUGCCCAUGUAAUCAGCACUCAAAUCUGAACCGAAAAGAACCCGAUCAGAGGAAACACAACAUGAGAUGACGAACAAUCAAACAUACUAUGUAGUGUUUGUCGGUCGUAGACAUGGAGUGUACGAUUCAUGGGUUGAAUGUCUAAAGAAUGUCCUACUUUAUAAGGGGAGUGUUUACAAAUCAUAUACUUCUAGAGAGGAAGUUGUCUGAGCUUGGGUGUUCAAUGCACCAAGAUGGAAGAGAAGUGAUGAAAUUUCAGCAACUGGCAAACCAAAGUUUGAACUUCCAGUUGAUGAUCAACAUUCCUUUCAAAUUAUUUCAUAUCCAUAUGUAAUCACUUUCUUUGUUGGCUUAUUUGUAGCAUGUGUUUUGCAUAUUGUAAUAUCUAGCUUAACAUAGGUGCUAGAAAUGUGUUAUGAAUAUCAAUGUGUAGUACUGUAUUUAUUAGAACUCCCAAACAAUGACUUCUGUGAUUAUUAUUAUCAGCUUUGGUAAACAGAAAAUGCUCACUCAACGGUUGGUAUGCCAUGGGUGCCACAACCCAAAUAUAUAGGAAGUAUGGCAUGGGUGCCCAAAGGUUGAGAGGGGCCUUUAUAUGGAACUUAUACCA